CCUGGUUGAAUGUGUGUUCCAGGUGAGUAAAAUACAUUUAGUCAGUUUCCUGUUAUAGAAACCAGAACAUGGCCUGGAAAAUCCUAAUGGUUUACCUGUGACUUUAUUUCCAUAAAGAUAAAUCAUCCCAGAGACUUUUAGAGAGCCUUGGAAAUAUUCCUCUAAUCUACUCUACUUAUCCCAUUUAAAGGAUAGCAUCUGAAGAUUUAAUAACAAAAAACAGUUGAAGAAUUCAAAGCUGGAUAAUCAGACAGCAAACAAAUCUCCCCUUGGGCCCAGAGGAAGACAUUAUCUCUGUCUUCUAAGGAUGUUUGCUACACAGACAUCCCUGAAAAAAUCAGGAAAAAGCUGUUAAUGCCCUUGCCUAGAAGACAUGCAGAAAUACAAGAGAUCAAUGGAGAGCUGUCUUCCCACAAAUGACUGCUUCAGAGCCUUUGUCAGAGCCUGGGAGCCUCAACUACUGAAGCCUGCAGACCCCAGAGCCUGUGCUCCACAAGAGAAGCCACCGCAGUGAGAAGCCCUCACACCACAACUGGAGAGCAGCCACUGCUCACCUCAACUAGAGAAAAGCCCACACGCAACCGAGUCCCAGCACAGCCAACAAAUACAUUAAAGCACUACUUUAAAACUCGAUGUGAUGAACUUGAC
ensembl:lncRNA